rnacentral:lncRNA from 1 species
UUAAAACACAAACACUCCAUUUGGAGUCUUCUGGAGAUCGACCAGAGCAAGGAGGGGCGACCCAGAUUUCUCAAACCCUAAGUUCAUGCUAUUUGAUCAAUUGAAGGCAAAUUUCAGUCCCAAAUCAAAUUCCGAGCAUAGAUUAAUGAUCCCCAUCGCAAGGAGAUCAUAAGGUAUGCAAUAUUUGACAAAAAUUCUCUACUUGAAUUUCUGGAUGAACUUAGAGAAUUCGAAUUAGAUGGUUGCAUGUUCGUUAUAUGAUGAAAUAGGAACAUUGUAUCUUCUGGAGAUCGACCAGAGCAAGGAGGGGCGACCCAGAUUUCUCAAACCCUAAGUUCAUGCUAUUUGAUCAAUUGAAGGCAAAUUUCAGUCCCAAAUCAAAUUCCGAGCAUAGAUUAAUGAUCCCCAUCGCAAGGAGAUCAUAAGUUUGACUCUUGACAAGCUAGAUGGAGGCUUGGGAAUGAAGCGGGUCAAACGGAGCAAGUACGAAAAGGAAAGCGUAAUUUGGAUGCGAGGUAAGUAAAACUUACACCCUUUAUGUUGGACACGUAUUUAUUUUAUAAACUAUAAAUGAGAACGAUGUAACAUCCAAAAUAAGGGUUCCGACACGAUUGACACAAGUCGGAACAAGUAUAAAUGAUAAAAACCAUGGCUUAUGGUAAACGGGGCGAAUGGGUGAAUUUGGAAAUUUAAAACCAUGCUUUUAUUCUAAUUUAUGUAAAGGUUUGGUCUUAUAAUCCAAACGGGUCAAAUGGUGAUGAUAACACCAUUUGACAAUAUUGACUAAUGUGAUUGUCAAGUUGUAUGUUAUCAGGAACGAUUAGCAAUUUGAAUAAUUGUGACGCCGUAGAAUAUUGGUUAAUUUAACGCGAGGUAUAUAACGGAUCUAUAGGUUGGCUCGAGCCAG